CGGCCGAACGGGUCCGUCGGGAAAUCCACUCGCUUAACGAGUGGGCGUCCGGCGGAAACUGUUCGGCUUGGGGCCGGAAGAUCCGAGGGGUACGUCCGGGGUAGGAGUGAAAUCCCGUAAUCCUGGACGGACCGCCGGUGGCGAAAGCGCCUCGGAAGGACGGACCCGACGGUGAGGGACGAAAGCUAGGGUCACGAACCGGAUUAGAUACCCGGGUAGUCCUAGCCGUAAACGAUGCCCACUAGGUGUGGCACCGGCUACGAGCCGGUGCUGUGCCGUAGCGAAGGCGAGAAGUGGGCCGCCUGGGAA
rnacentral:rRNA from 1 species